AAUGAACGCUGGCGGCAUGCCUAACACAUGCAAGUCGAACGAGACCUUCGGGUCUAGUGGCGCACGGGUGCGUAACGCGUGGGAACCUGCCCUUAGGUUCGGCAUAACUCCCCGAAAGGGGUGCUAAUACCGGAUAAUGUCUUCGGACCAAAGAUUUAUCGCCUUUGGAUGGGCCAGCGUUGGAUUAGCUUGUUGGUAGGGUAAAAGCCUACCACGGCGACGAUCCAUAGCUGGUCUGAGAGGAUGAUCAGCGACACUGGGAGUGAGACACGGCCCAGACUCCUACGGGAGGCGGCAGUGGGGGAUAUUGGACAGUGGGCGGAGGGCUGAACCAGCAAGGCCGGGUGAGUGAUGUAAGCCGUGAGGUAGUAAAGCUCUUUUACCCGGGAAGGUAAUGACGGUACCGAGAGAAUAAGCUCCGGCUAACUCCGUG
rnacentral:rRNA from 1 species